rnacentral:rRNA from 1 species
GAUGAACGCUGGCGGCGUGCCUAACACAUGCAAGUCGAACGGAGUCCAGCCUUUAAGACCUUCGGGUCAAAGAGGGGAAGACUGAGUGGCGGACGGGUGAGUAACACGUGGGCAACCUGGCUCAUAGAGGGGGAUAACAGAGAGAAAUUUCUGCUAAUACCGCAUAAGCACACACUGCCGCAUGGCAGAGGGUGAAAAGAGAAUCGCUAUGAGAUGGACCCGCGUCUGAUUAGCCAGUUGGCAGGGUAAGAGCCUACCAAAGCGACGAUCAGUAGCCGAUCUGAGAGGAUGAACGGCCACAUUGGGACUGAGACACGGCCCAAACUCCUACGGGAGGCAGCAGUGGGGGAUAUUGCACAAUGGGGGGAACCCUGAUGCAGCGACGCCGCGUGAGUGAAGAAGUAUUUCGGUAUGUAAAGCUCUAUCAGCAGGGAAGAUAAUGACAGUACCUGAAUAAGAAGCCCCGGCUAACUACGU